rnacentral:rRNA from 1 species
GAGGCAGCAGUAGGGAAUCUUCCACAAUGGGCGAAAGCCUGAUGGAGCAACGCCGCGUGAGUGAUGAAGGCCUUCGGGUUGUAAAACUCUGUCAUUCGGGACGAACCGGAGUCUGAGGAAAUGCAGACUCUCUGACGGUACCGGAGGAGGAAGCCCCGGCUAACUACGUGCCAGCAGCCGCGGUAAUACGUAGGGGGCAAGCGUUGUCCGGAUUCACUGGGCGUAAAGCGCGCGCAGGCGGUGAUGUAAGUCUGAGGUGAAAACCCGAAGCUCAACUUCGGGACUGCCUUGGAUACUGCGUCACUUGAGGAUAGGAGAGGCAAGGGGAAUUCCACGUGUAGCGGUGAAAUGCGUAGAGAUGUGGAGGAACACCUGUGGCGAAGGCGCCUUGCUGGCCUAUUUCUGACGCUGAGGCGCGAAAGCGUGGGGAGCAAACAGGAUUAGAUACCCUGGUAGUCCACGCUGUAAACGACUGAGUGUCUACGGUGUAGGUGGGCUCAUACCCAUCUGUGCCGAAGCUAAUCGCAUUAAUGCACUCCGCCUGGGGA